CGGAAAUUGGCGGGUGGUGGACGGAAGAGAGGGUACUUGGAGCUAGAGAAGCAAGGAGGAGGCAAGAGCAGACGGGAGUUAGCUUCCUGAAGCGACUCCAGCGCGCUUCCCUCCUUUCUAAAGAGGCCAGUUGUGUGUUCCCUGACUUUAUCCCCACGGGAUAGAAGGAAAGUCUGUCCUGACUCUGCGUCAGGAGUUGAAGCAAGAAAAGCUUCUUGUGCUCCUGUGUGCUUACGGGAACGCAAGGUUCAAAUCUCUGUUUAGAUCCUGGCUUCCCCAAGGAUUGUGUGAUCUUGAGCGAGUUAUUUAGUAGCUUCUUUCUGUUGAAUGUCCACCGUGUUCCAGGAGCUUUGUGUUUAUUACUUCAUUUAAUUCUCACAGUAAUCCCGCGAGGUAAAUAGUUCUGUCCGGUGCUGCUCAAAAGCUGAGAGGCAGUGUGGGCAUGACAAGGUUCGUGGGCUGGAGAUUCAAAUGGCCUCCUUUUGAAUCCUGGCUUUAUUACUUAAUAAUUAUGUGACCUUGGCCCUGAGCUAACAUCCGUGCCCAUCUUCCUCUACUUUAUAUGUGGGACACCUACCACAGCAUGGCUUGCCAAGCAGUGCUAUGUCUGCACCCAGGAUCCGAACCGGCAAACCCUGGGCCGCCAAAGCAGAACAUGCAAACUUAACUGCUGUACCAGCUCCCUAGUAAAGUGAUUUUUAAAAAUUACUUUAAUUACAAAAGAUGGACAUUCAUUGUAUAAAUGGAAAAUACAAAUAAGUAAAAAAGAAGUUAAUCAACAAAUCCUACCAUGCAAAAAAAAAUCUCCAUGGACAUUUUGAUUUAGACUUCCAGACAUUUUUUAUUUAUAUUUAGACUUAUUUAACAUACAAUUUUAUAACAUGCUAUUUCAUGAAGAGCCAUAUUUUUAUUUUUAAAAAUGACAAAGAAAAAAGUAUAGCUAAAUCUUUAUUUCAGUUUUUAAAAAUAUGUCUUGACUAAUAUCCAACAAGGGACUAAUCUCCAAAAUAUAUAAGGAACUCAUACAACUCAACAACAACUCAAAAACAAAUAACCUGAACAAAAAAUGGGCAGAGGAUAUGAACAGACAUUUUUCCAAAGAAUAUAUACAGACGGCCAAUAGGCACAUGAAAAGAUAUUCAACAUCACUGGUCAUUAGGAAAUGCAAAUCAAAACU
rnacentral:lncRNA from 1 species